rnacentral:tRNA from 3 species
GCAGGGGUGGUCGAGUGGUUAAUGGCACCGGGCUGUAAACCCGGCAGGCUAACGCCUUACGUAGGUUCGAAUCCUACCCCCUGCACCA